rnacentral:tRNA from 14 species
GUGGUUGUAGCUCAGUUGGUAGAGCGUCCGGUUGUGGUCCGGAAGGUCGCGGGUUCAAGCCCCGUCAGUCACCCCA